GAUGAACGCUGGCGGCGUGCCUAAUACAUGCAAGUCGAGCGAACAGACGAGGAGCUUGCUCCUCUGACGUUAGCGGCGGACGGGUGAGUAACACGUGGAUAACCUACCUAUAAGACUGGGAUAACUUCGGGAAACCGGAGCUAAUACCGGAUAAUAUAUUGAACCGCAUGGUUCAAUAGUGAAAGACGGUUUUGCUGUCACUUAUAGAUGGAUCCGCGCCGCAUUAGCUAGUUGGUAAGGUAACGGCUUACCAAGGCAACGAUGCGUAGCCGACCUGAGAGGGGGAUCGGCCACACUGGAACUGAGACACGGUCCAGACCCCUACGGGAGGCAGAAGUGGGGAAUCUUCCGCAAUGGGCGAAAGCCUGACGGAGCAACGCGGCGUGGGUGAAGAAGGUCUUCGGAUCGUAAAACUCUUUUAUUGGGAAAGAAAAAAUGGAGAAUUAACAAUCCCCGUUUUGACGGUACCUAAACAAAAAGCCCCGGCUAACUACGU
rnacentral:rRNA from 1 species